UCAGGUGGCCGCAGAGAAUAGGCCCAAGCGACUGUUUACCAAAAACAUAGGUUUCUGCUAAGUCGCAAGACGAUGUAUAGGAGCUGACGCCUGCCCGGUGCUGGAAGGUUAAGGGGAUCUGUUAGAGCAAUCGAAGCAGUGAACUUAAGCCCCAGUAAACGGCGGCCGUAACUAUAACGGUCCUAAGGUAGCGAAAUUCCUUGUCGGGUAAGUUCCGACCCGCACGAAAGGCGUAACGAUUUGGGCACUGUCUCAACAACAGACUCGGUGAAAUUGUAAUUCCGGUGAAGAUGCCGGAUACCUGCGACAGGACGGAAAGACCCCAUGGAGCUUUACUGUAGCUUGACAUUGGGUCUUGGUACUACAUGUACAGGAUAGGUGGGAGGCUUUGAAACCAGGACGCCAGUUUUGGCGGAGCCAUCCUUGGGAUACCACCCUUGUAGUACUGGGACUCUAACCAUAGGCCAUGAAUCUGGUCUUGGGACACUGUCAGGUGGGCAGUUUGACUGGGGCGGUCGCCUCCCAAAAGGUAACGGAGGCGCUCAAAGGUUCUCUCAGUACGGUCGGAAAUCGUACGUAGAGUGUAAAGGCAAAAGAGAGCUUGAUUGCAAGACAUACAGGUCGAGCAAGGAUGAAAAUCGGACUUAGUGAUCCGGUGGUUCUGCGUGGAAGGGCCAUCGCUCAACGGAUAAAAGCUACCCUGGGGAUAACAGGCUUAUCUCCCCCAAGAGUCCACAUCGACGGGGAGGUUUGGCACCUCGAUGUCGGCUCAUCACAUCCUGGGGCUGUAGUAGGUCCCAAGGGUUGGGCUGUUCGCCCAUUAAAGUGGUACGCGAGCUGGGUUCAGAACGUCGUGAGACAGUUCGGUCCCUAUCCGUCGCAGGCGUAGGAAAUUUGAGAAG
rnacentral:rRNA from 1 species